rnacentral:rRNA from 1 species
UUCGGGGAACCUGGAGACAGGUGCUGCAUGGCUGUCGUCAGCUCGUGUCGUGAGAUGUAGGGUUAAGUCCCGCAACGAGCGCAACCCUUGUCUUUAAUUGCCAUCAUUGAGUUGGGCACUUUAAAGAGACUGCCGGUGUUAAACCGGAGGAAGGUGGGGAUGACGUCAAGUCCUCAUGGCCUUUAUGACCAGGGCUACACACGUACUACAAUGGCAGGUACAAAGGGCAGCCACUUAGCGAUAAGGAGCGAAUCCCGUAAAACCUGUCUCAGUCCGGAUUGGAGUCUGCAACUCGACUCCAUGAAGUUGGAAUCGCUAGUAAUCGUAGAUCAGCACGCUACGGUGAAUACGUUCCCGGGCCUU